AGUGAACGCUGGCGGCGUGCCUAAUACAUGCAAGUCGAACGAUGAAGUCCUAGCUUGCUAGGUUGGAUUAGUGGCGCACGGGUGAGUAAUAUAUAGUUAAUCUGCCCUACACAGAGGAACAACAGUUGGAAACGGCUGCUAAUACCUCAUACUCCUAUUUGACAUAAGUUAAAUAGGGAAAGUCUUUUCGGUGUAGGAUGAGACUAUAUCGUAUCAGCUAGUUGGUAAGGUAAUGGCUUACCAAGGCUAUGACGCGUAACUGGUCUGAGAGGAUGAUCAGUCACAUUGGAACUGAGACACGGUCCAAACUCCUACGGGAGGCAGCAGUAAGGAAUAUUGCGCAAUGGGGGAAACCCUGACGCAGCAACGCCGCGUGGAGGAUGACACUUUUCGGAGCGUAAACUCCUUUUAUCAGGAAAGAAUAAUGACGGUACCUGAUGAAUAAGCACCGGCUAACUCCGUG
rnacentral:rRNA from 1 species